AGGACGAACGCUGGCGGCGUGCUUAACACAUGCAAGUCGAGCGGAAAGGCCCUUCGGGGUACUCGAGCGGCGAACGGGUGAGUAACACGUGAGUAAUCUGCCCCUAGCUCUGGGAUAGCUCCGGGAAACCGGGAUUAAUACCGGAUACGACCACCUUAGACAUCUUUUGUGGUGGAAAGAAUUUCGGCUAGGGAUGAGCUCGCGGCCUAUCAGCUUGUUGGUGGGGUAACGGCCUACCAAGGCGACGACGGGUAGCCGGCCUGAGAGGGCGACCGGCCAACGACGUCGGGACUGAGACACGGCCCAGACUCCUACGGGAGGCAGCAGUGGGAAUAUUGCGCAAUGGGCGAAAGCCUGACGCAGCGACGCCGCGUGGGGGAUGAAGGCCUUCGGGUUGUAAACCCCUUUCAGCAGGGACGAAGCGAAGUGACGGUACCUGCAGAAGAAGCGCCGGCUAACUACGUGCCAGCAGCCGC
rnacentral:rRNA from 1 species